CCCUCUCCAAUGACCGCGACAAGGGCGGC
rnacentral:sRNA from 1 species